rnacentral:rRNA from 1 species
AAAUUGAAGAGUUUGAUCAUGGCUCAGAUUGAACGCUGGCGGCAGGCCUAACACAUGCAAGUCGAGCGGAAACGAGUUAUCAGAACCUUCGGGGGACGAUAACGGCGUCGAGCGGCGGACGGGUGAGUAAUGCCUAGGAAAUUGCCCUGAUGUGGGGAAUAACCAUUGGAAACGAUGGCUAAUACCGCAUGAUGCCUACGGGCCAAAGAGGGGGACCUUCGG